UCCGGUUUGUCACCAGCAGUCCCAUUAGAGUGCUCAACUAAAUGUGGCAACUAAUGGCAAGGGUUGCGCUCGUUGCGGGACUUAACCCAACACCUCACGGCACGAGCUGACGACAGCCAUGCAGCACCUGAGCAGGAUGGUAUUGUUACCUCGUUGGGCUUUCACCCUUCUACUACCUGCAUGUCCAGCCUGGGUAAGGUUCUUCGCGUUGCGUCGAAUUAAACCACAUGCUCCACCGCUUGUGCGGGCCCCCGUCAAUUCCUUUGAGUUUCAGCCUUGCGGCCGUACUCCCCAGGCGGGGCACUUAUCGCAUUCGUUUCGACAGUGACGGCAUCGGACCUCCACUGCCUAGUGCCCAUCGUUUACAGCUAGGACUAC
rnacentral:misc_RNA from 1 species